AACAGCCACAGCAGGUAUGAUCUCAUCCUCAUAGCCCUACGUAUGCAGGCACAACAGCCACAGCAGGUAUGAUCUCAUCCUCAUAGCCCUACGUAUGCAGGCACAACAGCCACAGCAGGUAUGAUCUCCUCCUCAUAGCCCUACGUAUGCAGGCACAACAGCCACAGCAGGUAUGAUCUCCUCCUCAUAGCCCUACGUAUGCAGGCACAACAGCCACAGCAGGUAUGAUCUCAUCCUCAUAGCCCUACGUAUGCAGGCACAACAGCCACAGCAGGUAUGAUCUCAUCCUCAUAACCCUACGUAUGCAGGCACAACAGCCACAGCAGGUAUGAUCUCAUCCUCAUAGUGCUACGUAUGCAGGCACAACAGCCACAGCAGGU